rnacentral:rRNA from 1 species
CUCCUACGGCAGGUAGCAGUGGGGAAUUUUGGACAAUGGGCGCAAGCCUGAUCCAGCCAUGCCGCGUGCGGGAAGAAGGCCUUCGGGUUGGAAACCGCUUUUGUCAGGGAAGAAACGCUCCGAAACAAUACCUCGGAGUAUUUUCUGUACCUGAAGAAUAAGCACCGGCUAACUACGUGCCAGCAGCCGCGGUAAUACCUAGGGUGCAAGCGUUAAUCGGAAUUACUGGGCGUAAAGCCUGCGCAGGCGGCUUUGCAAGACAGAUGUGAACUCCCCGGCCUUAACCCUGGGAACUGCAUUUUGUACUUGCCUGGCUUGGACUCCCGCAAAAUGCGGAAGGGAAUUUCCACGCUUCAGCAUAAAAUGCCUAAAUAUCCGGAGGAACACCCCAUG